rnacentral:rRNA from 1 species
GAUGAACGCUGGCUACAGGCUUAACACAUGCAAGUCGAGGGGAAACGCCGGGGAAGCUUGCUUCCCCGGGCGUCGACCGGCGCACGGGUGAGUAACGCGUAUCCAACCUGCCUCUGACUGAGGGAUAACCCGUCGAAAGUCGGCCUAAUACCUCAUGGCAUCGUCUGCGGGCAUCCAACGACGAUUAAAGAUUUCAUCGGUCAGGGACGGGGAUGCGUCUGAUUAGCUUGGUGGCGGGGUACCGGCCCAUCAAGGCGACGGUCAGUAGGGGUUCUGAGGGGAAGGGCCCCCACAGGGGAACGGGGACACGGUCCAAACGCGUACGGGAGGCAGCAGUGAGGAAUAGUGGUCGAUGGGCGGGAGCCUGAACCAGCCAAGUAGCGUGCAGGAUGACGGCCCUAUGGGUUGUAAACUGCUGUUAUGCGGGGAUAAAGUGAGGGACGUGUCCUUCAUUGCAGGUACCGCAUGAAUAAGGACCGGCUAAUUCCGUG